GUUUACGUGGCCUAGUGGUUAAGGCGAUAGACUACGAAUCUUUUGGGAUCUUCCCGCGCAGGUUCGAAUCCUGCCGACAUCG
rnacentral:tRNA from 1 species